CUCCUGACCCUGUGAUCCGCCUGCCUCAGCCUCCCAAAGUGCUGGGAUUACAGGCUUGAGCUACCACGCCCGGCCUAGGCAAUUAUUGUUAACUCUCCACUGUGAGAGUGAGAACUUGCAGUAAGGAGACUCAAGUGUGAAUCUUGGCUGCACUGCAAAAAGCUUCUUCACCACAACCAUUGCAGAAAACAACAGCAGGCUGAUUUGAUGAGAGGAAGUCAGGAGUAGCCAUUAUAUCCUUCUCAGCUUCCAGGUUUAGUGGCAGCACGCAGUUUUAAGGGACAGGAGGGCAGAACACCGUCAUUUUCUUUCCUAACAUAAAGCAGCUUACAAUUCCUAGAACUCCGGUUUCUCCAGGAGUUAGAAAUUCACUACCCAUGUCCAUUCUGAGACAAGCGAGGAUGCUGUCCACCAAUGUCCCAUCCCCAUUCCCAUGCAUCCCCUCGCACGUGUGAAUCCUGGCUGGCCUCUCUCAGCUCACUGUUGGCCUCAUCUUCACCACAAGUGUCAUCGCAUGUGGUUCUGUGUGAGAAUUAUUGUAGCCUGUCUUUAAAAAAAACUUCAUUCUCAUUUUCACACCGAGAAUUGCUGUUUAUCAGCGUCAAAAUGACAGGAAAGAGCACUCAUGUUCUGUGCCGUGAACAAGGGGAGUUUUAGGAAACUGGUCAAAGGAGAUGAGGAGGACUCAGAGCACAGCAACGAAAUCUGAGACACACACGUCACUCCCUGCUGGGCAGGGUAAUUUUGCACUGAUGGGAGGGUGUUGGGGAAGGGAAGAGGCCGUCAGCUGGACCGGUGCACACUGUGAACAUUCACUGAAACACACCCUGUUGGCACUUACGAAGCAUUUGCCCCUUUUGAAGACAUUUGGACUUAAGAAGGCGGAGUUGCAGGAAAACGUAACAGGGGCCACACCGCAGGGGAAGGCGGUGGAUUGCAAGUCUCAAGCCCAGGGUUCUCCCCUCCUCGCUCCAGUUGUGUGAAAAAGUCAUUUCCUAACUCCUGUCCAAUAUCCUCAUGAGUUCUCGGUUUUGUCCCAACUCUAAACCUGAAUGGUCCAGCGAGCAUUUCUAUAAAAUGCCUCCACAGUGGCCACUGGGAGGCGAGUGACCUCUACGCAGUGACUGCCUGUCCUUCUGUCCUGUGAGACAGAGCUGCCUUCUUACAUGCAGCCCUCUUCCGCUGUGCGACUCUACCUCGAUCUUAGCUGAGAAGAUCAACAGAGAGCAAUUCAAGCAAAAUCAUAGUGAACUUACCAAAACAAAACAAAAAACAACCACUUUGGAGGCCUUUCUGAGGACUUGAGCUUUUAUCAUGGGGCAAACAUAAAUGAUUUUCAAUCAGUAACUUCAUCUAAGAGGGCCGUUGAGGCAAAAUAUCACGCUCAGGCACUGAAGAAGGGCAGAAUUCUUGGUUGCUUCCUCCCUUGUCAAGUCAGUGAGCCGAUGCUUUCUCAAGAUGUUCACACAGGGCUUUGAUACAGGAUUUCAAUGAGUCUUUUUCUGAACCACUGAUACAAAAAGCAUACUGUGGAACAGUGUCUUGUCUCAAUUCUGCAAUUGCUUCUGUACAUGUUUGAAGUCCCAGACCCCAGGAGGAGAGACCAUCAAAUUAGUCAAAGGUAAUUUGGGAAGACUGGCCAUGGGAGGUGGUGGCUAAAAGCCCUCUGGCCCCUGCUCUCUGAGCAUGCCCACACAGUGUCCUGGGCCGCACUGACUGCUGAGAAAGAACAUCUCAGGGCUUGGAUCCCCUGUUCAGAGGACACAUGCUCUUCCACCCAGUCACGGAGCAGUAGAGGAAUGGCGGCUCCAUGCUGUGUCUUGCAGAGCUCUCAGUCUCUGCACUUAAGGCUCCAGGUCGGCCUGGAUGUGAAGGCUCUUCAGUGUCAUCACAUGGAUGACAGACAAUAGGAAUCCUGCAAAUGAGCAGAAAAGAUCUGAUGAUGAAAGUUUCUUCUGAAGCUAUCACAAACUCAAGUCAGUGAGUUGCUUACUAGUUUUUUUUUUUUGGUUUUGUUUUUUGUUUUUUUUGAGACGGAGUCUCGCUCCGGCCUUGAAGUGUAGUGGUGUGAUCUUCUCUCACUGCAGCCUCUGCCUCCCGGGUUCACGCAAUUCUUCUCCCUCAGCCUCCCGAAUAGCUGGGACUACAAGUGUGCGCCACGACGCCCGGCUAAUUUUUGUAUUUUUGGUGGAGACGGGAUUGCACCAUGUUGGCCAGGCUGGUCUCAAACUCCUGACCUCAGGUGAUCCACCCACCUCGGCCUCCCAAAGUGCUGGGAUUACAGGUGUGAGCCACCGCGCCCGGUCAGACGCGCUCGUUUCUAGGAGGGAGGGUCUUGGAGGUUCCAAGGAGAAGGCGUCGCCUGGUCCCAGGAAGCGCCCAGGUGCCGCGUCCCUCCGUUUCCCCAUCUCCUGCGGGCCCCUCCCAGGGCGGGCUCCAGGCCUGUCCCGUGCGCCUGCGCACGAGCCUCGAGGUGGGCGGGGUUCCAGCGCGCAGCCGGCUGCCCUCAACCGCUCGCUGCCAGCAUCAGUUGCCGGUGGUUCGGGGCAGGGAGACGGCGCAGCGCGAGCAGAAAGGGCAGUUACCCAACGGCCGUCGCUCUCAUGGCGUCCUCCGUGGUAUUACCUAAAAAUAAAGUUAUUAGUGAUUAGAAGGUAAUCGCCUCCUGGUCAUGCUUCCACUGGUCACCACUGUCUGCGGGGCGACCCCAUCCUUUGGCCAGAGCAGGCCUGUGGCUGCCUCAAGGCGGGAGCGUUCCUUAGCGGGGGCUCUGCGGGACGCCCAGGCCCUGCUCCUUUCCAUGCUCGCCUGGCCUUGAAAUGAAGGGGGAAAUUUAGCAAUGCAGUGGGAACCCCAAAGUUUGUCUCGGCGGUGCCGCUCACAUUCCAAACAAUGCAAAAGCUUGAGGAAAACCUCAGCAGUUGAAACGUGUUGCAGUUCAGCAAAGAAGUAGCUCCUGUCCUCGUAAAAUCAGUGAAGUUCUCACGGACGACCUCAUUUGAGUAUGUGAUAUGGUUAUUCGUUAGUACUUGGCGAUGUGAGAGACACUCCCCUUGUUUACAAAGCGGUGCCCAGCUGGUUUGUGCAAGUGGAGAACAUGGUGGACCAGCUCCUAAGGAACAAUGACCUGUGCUACCGAGACUCCUUCAGGGUGAGCAAAGGCCUGGAAACCAGUAUGCAGAUAAAGAAAAGCAGAGAAAGAGAUAAUCAGUGAAUGCAGUUGUCAGCUGGCUGGGACCUGAGGAGAGUCACUUCUGGAGGCACCUGGUCUUUAUCCCGGUCAUCAGCCAGUAUCUCACCUUCAGAAGUAAGAUGCUUAGGAAACCAAGACAAGGAACUGUGUGUUGCAAACACCAUCACCCUGGAGAAGAGGUGGCAGGAGGUAACCUACAGAAAAUGGAGCAAUAGCCUAGAGCAAGAAACACAGAACAAAAGAGAAAUGAGGGGUUAGGCAACCUCCUGGAAGCACCAACGGGACAAGCACAUAUUCAGGGGCCUCCUAACAGACUCAACUUCCAGCAUCCUCAGAUGCAGAUAGACAUGUGACAUAGAAAUUCAAGACUGGAGAACUCAGGGACUUCUGAUUUUUAUCAAGAAAUGCAAAGGUUGGGCACGGUGGCUCAUGCUUGUAAUCCCAGCACUUUGGGAGGUCGAGGUGGGCAGACCAUGAGGUC